rnacentral:rRNA from 1 species
UACGAAGGGGGCUAGCGUUGUUCGGAAUUACUGGGCGUAAAGGGCGCGUAGGCGGCUUGGCAAGUUGGGUGUGAAAGCCCAGGGCUCAACCCUGGAACUGCACUCAAGACUGCCUUGCUUGAAUUCGGUAGAGGUUGGUGGAAUUCCCAGUGUAGAGGUGAAAUUCGUAGAGAUUGGGAAGAACACCCGUGGCGAAGGCGGCCAACUGGACCGACAUUGACGCUGAGGCGCGAAAGCGUGGGGAUCAAACAGG